AGGGUGUGCUCAGAGCAGGGGCCUGAAGGAAUGGCUCAUCAGUUUACAGGGCUCUCAACAGGAGCUCGGGCUGCUGGGCAGAGGGCACAGAGCUCGUUCCCUUUCUGUGAGCAGACACCCUGCACGU